GCAUCUUCAAUAUUUCUCUUUGUUCUCUCUCUCUCUCUCUCUCUCUCUCUCUGUGUGUGUGUGUGUGUGUGUGUGUGUGUGAGAGAGAGAGAGAGAGAGAGAGAGAGAGAGAAAUAGACAGAGACA
rnacentral:miRNA from 1 species